GUUAUUUAUUUUUUUCUUGCAAGAGAUUCAAUGUUUUGCUAGGAUGCCUUCAUAAGCAUGAGAAACGUCUCAUCUACAACCUUUCUGUUUGUAGGGUUGGAAAGUUCCCCCUCUUGUUAAUAAUCGGGUUCUCCCCAUCCAAUAUGGGUAAUACAACUCAAAAUAUGGAUUGGGUGGAUCUUUAUUAGUAUUCAUUGUUUACUUUCCUGGAAUAGUAGAAGCUAAAUAUGGAUUUAUCACACUGACUUUUAAAGAUUUCAAAGGAUUUUAUGUGAUUUUAAAAUUUCAAAGGACUUGAUGAAUUUUAGGGGAAAAAGAACAAACUUACAAGCGUGAAUGAUAAAAAUAAUGAACAAAUAAAUUCUAGCAUUUGAAUAAAGA
rnacentral:lncRNA from 1 species